AGGACGAACGCUGGCGGCGUGCUUAACACAUGCAAGUCGAACGGUAAGGCCCCUUCGGGGGUACACGAGUGGCGAACGGGUGAGUAACACGUGGGUAAUCUGCCCUGCACUUCGGGAUAAGCCUGGGAAACUGGGUCUAAUACCGGAUAUGAACUCCUGCCGCAUGGUGGGGGUUGAAAGUUUUUCGGUGCAGGAUGAGCCCGCGGCCUAUCAGCUUGUUGGUGGGUAAUGGCCUACCAAGGCGACGACGGGUAGCCGGCCUGAGACGGGUGAUCGGACCGACACUGGGACUGAGACACGGUCCAGACUCCGUACGGGGGCAGCAGUGGGGAAUUUGGACAAGUGGGCGCAACGCCUGGAUCCAGC
rnacentral:rRNA from 1 species